AGCGAACGCUGGCGGCAGGCUUAACACAUGCAAGUCGAACGGGCUUCUUCGGAAGUCAGCGGCAGACGGGUGAGUAACACGUGGGAACGUGCCCUUCGGUUCGGAAUAACUCAGGGAAACUUGAGCUAAUACCGGAUACGCCCUUUUGGGGAAAGGUUUACUGCCGAAGGAUCGGCCCGCGUCUGAUUAGCUUGUUGGUGGGGUAACGGCCUACCAAGGCGACGAUCAGUAGCUGGUCUGAGAGGAUGAUCAGCCACACUGGGACUGAGACACGGCCCAGACUCCUACGGGAGGCAGCAGUGGGGAAUAUUGGACAAUGGGCGCAAGCCUGAUCCAGCCAUGCCGCGUGAGUGAUGAAGGCCUUAGGGUUGUAAAGCUCUUUUGUCCGGGACGAUAAUGACGGUACCGGAAGAAUAAGCCCCGGCUAACUUCGUG
rnacentral:rRNA from 1 species